GAGCCCAAGUAAGUGAAGAUUAAAUGUUUUCAGAUUUGACUCUGGAAGCAGGUUCGAUAGGUGCAGUGUCCUAGCUAGAUGCGACCUGACUCAUCCUACAGGAGAGGAUUCCGGUCCAGCUGUGGGCACCUGGCACCUACUGCAGGACUUGACAUGUAUUCCUUAGUGCUUGAUCCACACAACCAUGAAGUGACCAGCAGUGUUCCCUGGGAACAGCCAGACCCUGAUCAUCCUGGAAGAUCUGGACACCAGCUCCACGUGCUGUCUGACAUGGGUUUCUCUGUUGGCUGCUACUGUUUUCAGGCUGAGAUGUCCAGGGCUGGUGCCUACAUUGGCAUGAUGUACAGAAACGUUGACUGCAUGGGUUCAGAAAGCAACCGCUGCUUCUUGGGGAAUGACUUCUGGAGCAACCUGUGGAACAGGAAAGGGUUUUCGGCAUGGCACAAAGACUGAGAGAUACCUCUUAAAACGUAGGACAGUUCUACCUGAACUACACCAGCAGGACCUCAUCCUUUUACAGGGUCACCUCUGAUGGCAAGACCUUGAUACACCAGACUGUGAAUUUGCUAAGUCCCUCUACUCCAUCUUUUGGGUUUCAAGGAAAGAAAAUUCUAUCAGGACUGUGAGGGUGGGGAAGGUCCCACCUCCUUGCCUUCCCCGUGGAGGCUGCUCCCUUGAAAGCAUCUGAGUCAGAACUGGCCAGGGCUUAGGUUCUGGUGUGAUGCCGGUGCUGUUAUGGCAGGUAGCUGGCAAAUAAGGGAGACAUUUCAAUAAAGACUCUUGUAAUCAGGUGUGCCUCUUAGCAUCGCAUAUUUUGGAGAUGGACAUGGCUUAGGAGUUUGUGGAGUUGCUUGUCCAGGGGUCAGUACAGAUUGUUCCCAGCAGUGGAUCCCUUAA